GGGUCCUUCUCCAUGGUGCGCUGCUGCUCCGCGAAGGCGAUGGCCAGGAACUCGAUGGCCAGGAUGGUCGGCAGGUUGCCCCACGGCACGGGCACGCCGAAGUAGGUCGCCUGCCCGUCGGGGAGCGCCGCCCAUUCCUGCGCCUUCACCCAGUUCCCCAGCCCCAGCGCCUCCGGCACCAACACCCCUGGCUGCACGCCAACACGCACGGUUUAUCACUAGCGAACAGCUUGAAAAGUGAUGCAGAGGAGAGCAGAGGAGCACGGUUACGUACCACGCAGAGCAUGGCCCAGCGGCAGUGGUAGAUCUCGGACUCCUUGAACCGCUCGAAGUUCUCCGGUACGGUGGCGAGGCCGAGGGGGUCGAACCCGAAGUCGCUGAGAGUUAACAAAGGCAAGAGUUAAUCACCGGUCAGAUAUACCCCUCCGUCUCACCGUCUCAUGUCAAGUGAAUUUCUAUUGCAUGUAUCUGUGUAGAUACAUUUGGACAAAUUUAAGUCACUUAAUAUGGGACACAGCGAGUACAUGUUUUGGAUUUAGUAUGGCAAAUGGAUGCUUACCCGGGCGAGGAGCCGUCGAGGUGGGCAGGGCGGGGCUGGCCGGGGAACCACUCGGCGGACAUGGUGACCCGGCCGGAGGUGGUGGCGAAGGCGCAGAACGGCAGGCCCGAGCGGCCGGACCGGGACGAAGGCGCCAGCAGGCUGGGCACGCCCACGGCGCUGCAGCUCCUCAGCCCGCUCGACGACGCCAUCGACAUUGCUGCUAGCUCGAUGCUACCCAGUUAGUUUCAGUUCUUGCUGCGCUCUCCGGCAACAACAACAAGAAGAGGGGAGGAUCAGGCGUCC
rnacentral:lncRNA from 1 species